rnacentral:rRNA from 1 species
UACGUAGGGUGCAAGCGUUGUCCGGAAUUAUUGGGCGUAAAGAGCUCGUAGGCGGUUUGUCGCGUCUGCUGUGAAAUCUGGAGGCUCAACCUCCAGCCUGCAGUGGGUACGGGCAGACUAGAGUGCGGUAGGGGAGAUUGGAACUCCUGGUGUAGCGGUGGAAUGCGCAGAUAUCAGGAAGAACACCGAUGGCGAAGGUAGAUCUCUGGGCCGUAACUGACGCUGAGGAGCGAAAGCAUGGGGAGCGAACAGG